rnacentral:lncRNA from 1 species
AUGCUGGGCCAGCUGGGAACCUGGGGAACCUCAGAGCAGAGCCCAACUUUCUGCCCUGGACUGAUGGAUGAGAUGCACCCUCACCUCUGCCUCCCCUUGGCAUCCAGAGUUGCUUUACUCUUGCCUCCCAAACAGAGGAAUCUUCCAUCAAAACAAUUAGGAGACCCCAGGCAGCUGUCUUCUGGGAACAUCCUUCUAACAGCAACAGUCCCCCACCCACCAAGCUACUCCCUACAUCCAAAUGAUUCCCGAGGUUGCAGUUAGAUUAGUACAUGGUGACUGUGCCCUUGGGAGAUGCUAGGUCCUGGCCUGACAACCUGACCUGACCUAGGAUGAGCCCAUCAGAGACCUUUCAAAGCCAGGCUUUCUGUCUUGUGAGCCACAUAAACAGGGAAACUCAUCUCAAGAAGACAGGGAGAACUGAUAAAAUUUGUGGAGAGGAGGAGGAUGCAAGUCAGAAGGAGAGGACUCUGUUGGUAUCUGGGUCCCUGGUCUCAAUUUUUUCUGAAACCCAGCUAUCCUUAAAUCCUGAAAGACACCAGAAUACCCUCAAAAUUAAUUUCCUUUGCUAUUAGGCUAGUUCAAGUGGGACUUCUGUCACUUGCAACCAAAAGAGUCCUAAGAAUGUCACGUGACUCUCUUUCAUUCAUGACCUCACUGUGAGGUAUGAGAUCUCUGUAACUGCACUCGGUCUACCUAGAUCAGCAUCUUCUUUACCGGUGGGCUCCUUUAAGAAAGUUUGAUAUAUUGGGGCCCCUGGGUGGCUCAGUCGAUUAAGCAUCUGACUUCAGCUCAGGUCAUGAUCUCACGGUUCAUGAGUUUGAGCCCUGCGUCGGGCUCUGUGCUGAUCAUUCAGAGCCUAGAGCCUGCUUCGGAUUCUGUGUCUCCCUCUGUCUCUGCACCUCCCCUUCUCUCACUCUGUCUCUGCCUCUCAAAAAUAAAAAAAUUAAAAUUAAAAAAACA